UACGAAGGGGGCUAGCGUUGCUCGGAAUCACUGGGCGUAAAGCGCACGUAGGCGGAUUUUUAAGUCAGGGGUGAAAUCCUGGAGCUCAACUCCAGAACUGCCUUUGAUACUGAGAAGCUUGAGUCCGGGAGAGGUGAGUGGAACUGCGAGUGUAGAGGUGAAAUUCGUAGAUAUUCGCAAGAACACCAGUGGCGAAGGCGGCUCACUGGCCCGGUACUGACGCUGAGGUGCGAAAGCGUGGGGAGCAAACAGG
rnacentral:rRNA from 1 species